rnacentral:rRNA from 1 species
AUGAACGCUGGCGGCGUGCUUUAUACAUGCAAGUCGAACGCGAAAGUGGACUUCGGUCCAUGAGUAGAGUGGCGAACGGGUGAGUAACACGUGGGUAACCUACCCUGGAGUGGGGGACAACUCGGGGAAACUCGAGCUAAUACCGCAUUCGCUUCACUGAUCUCGGUUGGUGAAGGAAAGGCAGCCUCUUCUUGAAAGCUGUCGCUCUGGGAUGGGCCCGCGUCCGAUUAGCUUGUUGGUGGGGUAAUGGCCUACCAAGGCUGCGAUCGGUAGCCGGCCUGAGAGGGUGAUCGGCCACACUGGAACUGAGACACGGUCCAGACUCCUACGGGAGGCAGCAGUAGGGAAUAUUGCGCAAUGGGGGGAAACCCUGACGCAGCAACGCCGCGUGAAGGAUGAAGGCCUUCGGGUCGUAAACUUCUGUCAAAAGGGAAGAAGGUGCUUCGGUAAUAGCUGAAGUACUUGACGGUACCUUUAGAG